AUUGAACGCUGGCGGAAUGCUUUACACAUGCAAGUCGAACGGCAGCACGGACUUCGGUCUGGUGGCGAGUGGCGAACGGGUGAGUAAUAUAUCGGAACGUGCCAAGUCGUGGGGGAUAACGUAGCGAAAGUUACGCUAAUACCGCAUACGAUCUAUGGAUGAAAGCGGGGGAUGGCAAGACCUCGCGCGAUUGGAGCGGCCGAUAUCAGAUUAGGUAGUUGGUGGGGUAAAGGCUCACCAAGCCAACGAUCUGUAGCUGGUCUGAGAGGACGACCAGCCACACUGGAACUGAGACACGGUCCAGACUCCUACGGGAGGCAGCAGUGGGGAAUUUUGGACAAUGGACGCAAGUCUGAUCCAGCCAUUCCGCGUGCAGGAUGAAGGCCCUCGGGUUGUAAACUGCUUUUGUACGGAACGAAAAGGUCUCCAUUAAUACUGGGGGCUCAUGACGGUACCGUAAGAAUAAGCACCGGCUAACUACGUGCCAGCCGCCGCGGUAACAC
rnacentral:rRNA from 1 species